rnacentral:rRNA from 1 species
UGGGGAAUCUUGCGCAAUGGCCGAAAGGCUGACGCAGCGACGCCGCGUGUGGGAGGACGCCCUUCGGGGUGUAAACCACUGUUGCCCGGGACGAAUAUCCUCUUUCGAGGGGAUUGACGGUACCGGGUGAGGAAGCACCGGCUAACUCCGUGCCAGCAGCCGCGGUAAUACGGAGGGUGCGAGCGUUGUCCGGAAUCACUGGGCGUAAAGGGCGCGUAGGCGGCGCGAGCAGUCGGUCGUGAAAGUCCGGAGCUCAACUCCGGAUCGGCGGUCGAUACUCUCGUGCUUGAGCACUGUAGAGGCAGGUGGAAUUCCGGGUGUAGCGGUGGAAUGCGUAGAGAUCCGGAAGAACACCGGUGGCGAAGGCGGCCUGCUGGGCAGUAGCUGACGCUGAUGCGCGACAGCGUGGGGAGCAAACAGGAUUAGAUACCCGCGUAGUCC